rnacentral:rRNA from 1 species
AGUGAACGCUGGCGGUAGGCCUAACACAUGCAAGUCGAACGGCAGCACAGUAAGAGCUUGCUCUUACGGGUGGCGAGUGGCGGACGGGUGAGGAAUACAUCGGAAUCUACUUUUUCGUGGGGGAUAACGUAGGGAAACUUACGCUAAUACCGCAUACGACCUACGGGUGAAAGCAGGGGAUCUUCGGACCUUGCGCGAUUGAACGAGCCGAUGUCGGAUUAGCUAGUUGGCGGGGUAAAGGCCCACCAAGGCGACGAUCCGUAGCUGGUCUGAGAGGAUGAUCAGCCACACUGGAACUGAGACACGGUCCAUACUCCUGCGGGAGGCAGAAGUGGGGAAUGUUGGACAAUGGGCGCAAGCCUGGUCCAGCCAUACCGCGUGGGUGAAGAAGGCCUUCGGGUUGUAAAGCCCUUUUGUUGGGAAAGAAAAGCAGCAGGUUAAUACCCCGAUGUUCUGACGGUACCCAAAGAAUAAGCACCGGCUAACUUCGUG